GGAUUAUAGCUCAGUUGAUAGAGUGCUUGCCUUGCAUGCACAAAGCCCUGGGUUCAAUCCCCAGCACCA
rnacentral:tRNA from 1 species